GACAGAGGGGGCAAGCGUUGCUCGGAAUCACUGGGCUUAAAGGGCGCGUAGGCGGGUGGCCAAGUCAGGGGUGAAAUCCGGCAGCUCAACUGUCGAAUAGCUUUUGAUACUGGCCGUCUUGAGGGGGGUAGGGGCAUGUGGAACUUCCGGUGGAGCGGUGGAAUGCGUAGAUAUCGGAAGGAACGCCGGUGGCGAAAGCGACGUGCUGGACCCUUUCUGACGCUGAGGCGCGAGAGCCAGGGGAGCAAACGGG
rnacentral:rRNA from 1 species